rnacentral:rRNA from 1 species
GACGAACGCUGGCGGCGUGCCUAAUACAUGCAAGUUGAGCGCUGAAGGUUGGUACUUGUACCAAAUGGAUGAGCAGCGAACGGGCGAGUAACGCGUGGGGAAUCUGCCUUUGAGCGGGGGACAACAUUUGGAAACGAAUGCUAAUACCGCAUAAAAACUUUAAACACAAUUUUUAAGUUUGAAAGAUGCAAUUGCAUCGCUCAAAGAUGAUCCCGCGUUGUAUUAGCUAGUUGGUGAGGUAAAGGCUCACCAAGGCGAUGAUACAUAGCCGACCUGAGAGGGUGAUCGGCCACAUUGGGACUGAGACACGGCCCAAACUCCUACGGGAGGCAGCAGUAGGGAAUCUUCGGCAAUGGACGAAAGUCUGACCGAGCAACGCCGCGUGAGUGAAGAAGGUUUUCGGAUCGUAAAACUCUGUUGGUAGGGAAGAACGUUGGUGAGAGUGGAAAGCUCAUCAAGUGACGGUAACUACCCAGAAAGGGACGGCUAACUACGUG